rnacentral:rRNA from 1 species
CCCUUAGAUGUUCUGGGCCGCACGCGCGCUACACUGAUGCAUUCAACGAGCCUAUCCUUGACCGACAGGUCCGGGUAAUCUUUGAAUCUGCAUCGUGACGGGGAUAGAUUAUUGCAAUUAUUAAUCUUCAACGAGGAAUGCCUAGUAGGCGCAAGUCAUCAGCUUGCGUCGAUUACGUCUCUGCCCUUUGUACACACCGCCCGUCGCUCCUACCGAUUGGGUGUGCUGGUGAAAUGUUCGGAUCGGCCGUUUGUCGCGGUUUCCGCGGCUCGUGGCUGAGAAGUUCAUUAAACCCUCCCACCUAGAGGAAGGAGAAGUCGUAACA